rnacentral:lncRNA from 1 species
GUAUUCUCAUUAGUUAAGACAAUAAAAGGUAAAUUGAAAAUAUAUAAUCACUUCGACUAGAGAAAACACAGUGAGCUGAAGCGGCGGGGUAGAUCAGUGGCAACGACGAGACAAACCACGCGAGAUGGGGCCGCCAGCCGUAGUCACAUGGCGGCACGUGAAGACCGUCGGCGACUCGCCACCAACCCUCCUGCAACCAACCGGCCGUCGGCUGGCGAGUUACCGUCAACCUAAGCGCCCAAGUCAUCCGUAGGCCAUGCAUGGUCUCACCGGUGAUGGAGGCGUCGCGUUCUGCAUCAAAGAGGCCGUAAGCCUUUCGACGUGCAAUAAUAGCACAAACAAAUCACACACAUUGCUCUGCA